GGAAAAACUUCAGGGUUGCGAUGAAUCCAAAACCCCUUUUGUUUUAUUUUGAGAUCGAUGAACGCAUCCACCGCUUUGGUUAUCAAAAGAGGAACAUCGUAAACAAUCAACUUCGUGAAAGUGAAUUGCGUUUUGUGUUUUCGUUCUGAUUACGCACUGGGACCACGGAUCACACAGCAUUCACUGCGAUCAUUCUGGAUCAUCAAACUCGAAAGACGUACCCAUCUAUUGUUUAGCAAGAUGGACAGCAAAGAAAUGCAAACAAUCAGUACAGCGAAUAUAAAGUUUUCUUCAUCCGACAUUGAUCCCUAAAUUUUGCAUUGCUCUGAUUGUGUUCUGUGUUUACAG